rnacentral:lncRNA from 1 species
AUUUAAGUACCACAUAAAAAUACAAUAUUAUAUCCUCCAAACAUUUACGUUGUCGUUAGUUUGGUGGGUCUUCUUUUGAUUUUGUUUCCUUGGAAUUGAGUUCUGCAUCCCUAUAAAAUAAAACAAUGCACCAAAAAAUGCAAGACAAAUAUAUCAGAAGAUAUGGGACUGCCAAAAAUAAAUAGCAAGACCCCAAGACCUUUGAGCAUAUGUAUGACAUUUGAGCAGAGGAUCAUUAACUGAGAUGCAAAUCAAUCACAAAUCAAUACUAAUAUAUAAAGGAAGUAAGAAUGAUCCAAAACUCACCUCUCAAUUGCAAAAUUCAAUGAGUCAACUCUUAAUUAAUUAAGAGUUAACUUGCUCAAUUGGAAAACUCACGUGUGUGCAGCUGACAAAAGAAAUUAAUAACAAUGGAGCCAUAUUCCUUGACAAUCUACACUUAGUAACAGUAUCAAUCAAAAUCAAAUAGUCUAGUGAAUCCAUUUCUCAAUUCAUUCAUUCAUAAUGAUCAAAUAAAUGAAUAGACUUGCCUUUUUGUAUGCAUUUGGCAUUGUCUACAAUGCCCUUACUCUGCUCUCUGCCAACUGAGCUUUACCGUUAAGGAAAAGGCAAAAAACCCAGCUUUUAUGAUAUAUGAUAGUUUUGGCUUUUUGGCAUCAAAGAGAAAAAAGAAAAAAAAUAAUAAUAAUACUUUCAAGCCCAUGUGAAAGGUCUAUAUAUAAUUAUAUAUACAUGUAUUGUUUUUAAUAAUUUUUUGAGUUGAUGUAACUAUAUAUUUCUAAAGACAACCCAAUNNNNNNNNNNNNNNNN